AUCGGAAGUUCCAGAAGCCUGGCGAAAGUUCCAUACUUCCUUACUUCUCAUAUUGCUUUUAAAACUUAUGGAAUGUAAAGAAGUAUGGAGCGAACGCGGGCAGAUUCACCGAAGACACCG
rnacentral:precursor_RNA from 12 species